rnacentral:rRNA from 1 species
GCGAACGCUGGCGGCAGGCUUAACACAUGCAAGUCGAACGGGCACCUUCGGGUGUCAGUGGCAGACGGGUGAGUAACACGUGGGAACGUACCCUUCGGUUCGGAAUAAGCCAGGGAAACUUGGUCUAAUACCGGAUACGCCCUUCGGGGGAAAGGUUUACUGCCGAAGGAUCGGCCCGCGUCUGAUUAGCUAGUUGGUGGGGUAAUGGCCUACCAAGGCGACGAUCAGUAGCUGGUCUGAGAGGAUGAUCAGCCACACUGGGACUGAGACACGGCCCAGACUCCUACGGGAGGCAGCAGUGGGGAAUAUUGGACAAUGGGCGCAAGCCUGAUCCAGCCAUGCCGCGUGAGUGAUGAAGGCCUUAGGGUUGUAAAGCUCUUUCGACGGGGACGAUAAUGACGGUACCCGUAGAAGAAGCCCCGGCUAACUUCGU